rnacentral:lncRNA from 1 species
UUUAUGUUUUUUUUCAUGACGACCAAUAAAAAACAACAGUGUUACCCCUUAUUUUUUUUUCAUGACGACCAAUAAAGAACACCAGUGUUACCCCUUGUGUUUUUUUUCAUGACGACCAAUUAUGUUUAUUUCAUGACGGCCGAAAAAAAACGAGUUACCCCUUAUGUUUUUUUUCUUGACGACCAAUAAAAAACUACACUGUUACCCCUUAUAUUUUAUUUGACAAAGACAACAGUGUUACCCUAAAUGUUUUUUUUCAUGACGACCAAUAAAAAACAACAGUGUUACCCCUUAUGUGUUUUUCAUGACUACCAAUAAAAAACAACAGUGUUACCCCUUAUGUUUUUUUUCAUGGCGACCAAUAAAAAACAACAGUGUUACCCCUUAUGUUUUUUUUCAUGACGACCAAUAAAAAACAACAGUGUUACCCCUUGUGUUUUUUUUCAUGACGACCAAUUAUGUUUAUUUCAUGACGGCCGAUAAAAAACGACAGUUACCCCUUAUGUUUUUUUUCAUGACAACCAAUAAAAAACGACACUGUUACCCCUUAUAUUUUAUUUGACAAAGACAACAGUGUUACCCUUUAUGUUUUUUUUCAUGACGACCAAUAAAUAACAACAGUGUUACCCCUUAUGUGUUUUUCAUGACGACCAAUAAAAAACAACAGUGUUACCCCUUGUGUUUUUUUUCAUGAUGACCAAUUAUGUUAAUUUCAUGACGGCCGAUAAAAACGACAGUUACCCCUUAUGUUUUUUUUCUUGACGACCAAUAAAAAACAACAGUGUCACCCCUCAUGUUUCAUUUGAGAAAAACGACAGUGUCACCCCUCAUGUUUCAUUUGAUAAAAACGACAGUGUUACCCCCUAUGUUUUAUUCGAUACAUUUCGACAGUGUUACCCCUUAUGGGUUUUUCAUGACAACAGAUAAAAAACGACAGUGUUACCCUUUACGUUUCAUUUGAUAAAAACGACAGUGUUACCCCUUAUGUUUUUUUUCAUGACGACCAAUAAAAAACAACAGUGUUACCCCUUAUGUUUUUUUUCAUGACGACCAAUAAAAAACGACAGUGUUACCCCUUGUGGUUUUUUCAUGACGACCUAAGAAAAACAACAGUGUUACCCGCUAUGUUUUUUUUCAUGACGACCAAUAAUAAACAACAGUGUUACCCCUUAUAUCUUUUUUCAUGACGACCAAUAAAAAACAACAGUGUUACCCCUUAUGUUUUUUUUCAUGACGACCAAUAAAAAACAACAGUGUUACCCCUUAUGUUUUUUUGCAUGACGACCAAUAAAAAACAACAGUGUUAACCCAUAUGUUUUUUUUGAUGACGACCAAUAAAAAACAACAGUGUUACCCCUUAUGUUUUUUUUCAUGAUGACCAAUAAAAAACGACAGUGUUACCCCUUUUGAUUUUUUUCAUGACGACCAAAGAAAAACAACAGUGAUACCCCCCUAUGUUUAAUUUGAUGAAUACAGUGUUACCCCUUAUGUUUAUUUCAUGACGGCUGAUAAAAAACGACAGUUACCCCUCAUGUUUUUACCAUGUUGACCAAUAAAAAAUGACAGUUUUUGCGGGGAUCCGAACCUUAGCUGUUUAGAGUAUUAACUAGAGCUGUCAGUUAAACGCGUUAUUAACGGCGUUAACGCAAACCAAAUUUAACGGCGUUAAAUUUUUUAUCGCGCGAUUAACGUAAUUAUUUUAUAAAAAAAAAAAAAAAAAAAAAAAAAAAAUUUUUUUUUGGCUCAAAACAAAGAAGCAGUAGCCUGACUGCUAUGUUCAAAUGACAUUUGUUCAAAGCAGUCGUUUAAUUGCACUAUAGGCUCUUUUUUUGUAUCGUCCUGUUUUGAUCAGUGUAUAUGCCAAUGUUGUUAUCAAUAAAAAAUAAUUUGCACAAGGCAAGCCGAUGCACUUCACCAUGUUGAUAAGAGAAUUAAAAUGAGAAGAAUUAUGGGACAAAAAAAUCAAGGGAUAUUUAGCAUAGAAAAAGAAUUUGCGAUUAAUCGCGAUUAAUUAGAGUUAACUAUGACAUUAAUGCGAUUAAUCACGAUUAAAUAUUUUAAUCGCUUGACAGCUCUAGUAUUAACCUCCGAACGUAUCAAUGCACCAUAAAGACGCCGAUUAAAGUCAACACAAUGGUUAUACUUGACUUUAUAAUACACAAUAAUCAAUCAUCAAUAAAGAGGAUAUACAUGACAUUAAAAUGUAUGUGUAUUUACAUUAUUUCCCUUUUCUUUAUUUUUUCAUGACGACCAAUAAAAAACGACAAGGUUACCACUUAUAUUUUAUUUGACAAAGACAACAGUGUUACCCUUUGUUUUUUUUCAUGACGACCAAUAAAAAAACAACAGUGUUACCCCUUAUGUUUUUUUUCAUGACGACCAAUAAAAAAGAACAGUGUUACCACUUCUUUUUUUUUUCAUGACGACCAAUAAAAAACAACAGUGUUACCCCUUGUGUUUUUUUUCAUGACGACCAAUUAUGUUUAUUUCAUGAUGGCCGAUAAAAAACGACAGUUACCCCUUAUGGUUUUUUUCUUGACGACCAUUGAAAAACGACACUGUUACCCCUUAUAUUUUAUUUGACAAAGACAACAGUGUUACCCUUUAUGUUUUUUUUCAUGACGACCAAUAAAAAACAACAGUGUUACCCCUUAUGUGUUUUUCAUGACUACCAAUAAAAAAGAACAGUGUUACCCCUUAUGUUUUUUUUCAUGACGACCAAUAAAAAAGAACAGUGUUACCCCUUAUUUUUUUUUUCAUGACGACCAAUAAAAAACAACAGUGUUACCGCUUGUGUUUUUUUUCAUGACGACCAAUUAUGUUUAUUUCAUGACGACCAAUAAAAAACAACAGUGUUACCCCUUAUUUUUUUUUUCAUGACGACCAAUAAAAAACAACAGUGUUACCCCUUAUAUUUUAUUUGACAAAGACAACAGUGUUACCCUAAAUGUUUUUUUUUUCAUGACGACCAAUAAAAAACAACAGUGUUACCCUUUAUGUGUUUUUCAUGACUACCAAUAAAAAAAAAACAGUGUUACCCCAUAUGUUUUUUUUUAUGACGACCAAAAAAAAACAACAGUGUUACCCCUUAUGUGUUUUUCAUGACGACCAAUAAAAACAACAGUGUUACCCCUUAUUUAUUUUUUCUUGACGACCAAUAAAAAACGACACUGUUACUCCUUAUAUUUUAUUAGACAAAGACAACAGUGUUACCCUUUGUUUUUUUUCAUGAUGACCAAUAAAAAACAACAGUGUUACCCCUUAUGUGUUUUUCGUGACGACCAAUAAAAAACAACAGUGUUACCCCUUAUGUAUUUUUUCAUGACGACCAAUAAAAAACAACAGUGUUACCCCUUGUGUUUUUUUCAUGACGCCCUAUAAAAAACGACAGUUACCCCUUAUGUUUUGUUUCUUGACGACCAAUAAAAGACGACACUGUUACCCCUUAUAUUUUAUUUGACAAAGACAACAGUGUUACCCUUUAUGUUUUUUUCAUGACUACCAAUAAAAAACAACCGUGUUACCCCUUAUGUUUUUUUUCAUGACGACCAAUAAAAAACAAGUGUUACCCUUUAUGUGUUUUUCAUGACUACCAAUAAAAAACAACAGUGUUACCCCUUAUGUUUUUUUUCAUGACGACCAAUAAAAAACAACAGUGUUACUCUUUAUGUUUUUUUUCAUGACGACCAAUAAAAAACAACAGUGUUACCCCUUAUGUGUUUUUCAUGACGACCAAUAAAAAACAACAGCGUUACCCCUUAUUCUUUUUUUCAUGACGACCAAUAAAAAACAACAGUGUUACCCCUUGUGUUUUUUUCAGGACGACCAAUUAUGUUUUUUUUCUUGACGACCAAUAAAAAACGACACUGUUACCCCUUAUAUUUUAUUUGACAAAGACAACAGUGUUACCCUUUAUGUUUUUUUCAUGACGACCAAUAAAAAACAACAGUGUUACCCCUUAUGUUUUUUUUCAUGACGACCAAUAAAAACAACAGUGUUCCCCCUUAUUUAUUUUUUCUUGACGACCAAUAAAAAACGACGCUGUUACCCCUUAUAUUUUAUUUGACAAAGACAACAGUGUUACCCUUUGUUUUUUUUCAUGAUGACCAAUAAAAAACAACAGUGUCACCCCUGAUGUUUUUUUUCAUGACGACCAAUAAAAAACAACAGUGUUACCCCUUAUUUAUUUUUUCAUGACGACCAAUAAAAAACAACAGUGAUACCCCUUGUGUUUUUUUUCAUGACGACCAAUAAAAAACGACACUGUUGCCCCUUAUAGUUUAUUUGACAAAGACAACAGUGUUACCCUUUAUGUUUUUUUUCAUGACGACCAAUAAAAAACAACAGUGUUACCCCUUAUGUUUUUUUUUAUGACGACCAAUAAAAAACAACAGUGUUACCCCUUAUGUUUUUUUUCAUGACGACCAAUAAAAAACAACAGUGUUACCCCUUAUUUUUUUUUUCAUGACGACCAAUAAAAAACAACAGUGUUACCCCUUGUGUUUUUUUUCAUGAUGACCAAUUAUGUUUAUUUCAUGACGGCCGAUAAAAAACGUCAGGUACUAUGGAGGUAGAUUUGUGUCUUUAUUAUGCAAUCAAAAAUAAUAGGUUUGAGAGCAAAACUUUCCACACUGCAUUCAAAAAAUAGAUUUGAGAGCAAAACUAUCGACACUGCAAUCAAAAAAUGU